ACUUUCUCGGUUGACGGGUACC
rnacentral:miRNA from 14 species